rnacentral:rRNA from 1 species
AUUGAACGCUGGCGGCAGGCCUAACACAUGCAAGUCGAGCGGAGCGGCAGACGCGGGAGUAAGGCCUAGGAAUCGGCCUGGUCGUGGGGGAUAACGUUCGGAAAUGGGCACUAAUACCGCAUACUAUUGGCUGAGGCUAGGUCGGAUUAGCUAGUUGGUGGGGUAAAGGCCUACGAAGGCGACGAUCCGUAACUGGUCUGAGAGGAUGAUCAGCCACACUGGAACUGAGACACGGUCCAGACUCCUACGGGAGGCAGCAGUGGGGAAUAUUGGACAAUGGGCGAAAGCCUGAUGCAGCCAUGCCGCGUGUGUGAAGAAGGUCUUCGGAUUGUAAAGCACUUUCAGUUGGGAGGCGUUACCAGCAGAAUAAGCACCGGCUAACUCCGUGCCAGCAGCCGCGGUAAUUC